GACGAACGCUGGCGGCGUGCUUAACACAUGCAAGUCGAACGAAGUGGCGAACGGGUGAGUAACGCGUAUCAACCUGCCCUUCAGAGGGGGACAACAGUUGGAAACGACUGCUAAUACCGCAUACUAUCAGAUGAGCCUAGGUCGAAUUAGCUAGUUGGUGGGGUAAAGGCCUACCAAGGCGACGAUCCGUAACUGGUCUGAGAGGAUGAUCAGUCCCACUGGAACUGAGACACGGUCCAGACUCCUACGGGAGGCAGCAGUGGGGAAUAUUGGACAAUGGGCGAAAGCCUGAUCCAGCCAUGCCGCGUGUAUGAAGAAGGCCUUCGGGUUGUAAAGUACUUUCAGCGGGGAGGCGUUACCCGCAGAAGAAGCACCGGCUAACUCCGUGCCAGCAGCCGCGGUAAUAC
rnacentral:rRNA from 1 species